GGGUUUCUAGGCAAAGCAGUUUAACUGUAGUUAACAUGUGAAAAAUAGCCUAAUAAGGAUCUUCGUGGUAAAAUCAGAUGGAAAACGGGGAGGCAGAGUCGCGUCUCCAGCAGCUCAUUCGACGCGGCGGCUCCUCCGAGUUGUACAAUAAUCAUCAGUGCUGGCCCGGUGCCGCUGGAUUAUUUUGUAUAUUCAUGAAGGCCCUCAUCAGCCGUCAGGAGACUGUGCAGUAAUCCUUGGAUGAAAUAAGGCCAAUCAGAGCGAUAAUGAGGAAGGUCAAUUGCCCAGAGGCUUCUCCUCCUGUUUUCCAUCUAUUUAUAUACGUGGACCAUAAUAAGCCUCUUGGAACCAGAAGUUACUGGGCCUACAUAAACACCUGCUCUGGUUUUUUGUUUGUCUUUUACCCGAAAUCAGCAAAGUUUUUUUUUUUUUAAAUGAAUCUGCAAAACCAUGUCAAAGCUAUCAACUCAUGCAUGGAGUCGGAAAACAAAGGAGGAUUCUAAUAAUGUUUAUUUUCCUCUUUAUCAGAGACCCCCCCCCCAUACAAAAUCCCAAACCAAAAGAGGAGCCUAUAAAGGAAUGUCUAAACUGCUCACAGAGCUUUCUUUUCACAAAACGAGCGAGAAACCAUCAACAGGGCAGGGAAGGCAAACACGUCUGCCCCACACUGCUUGUGCUUUCUUGGGUCACAGAGACACAUCCGAGCAGGUCAUGGGCUGCUUCCACCGACAGAUGUCCUGAUGUGAAGGAGAGUACCACUGAAGAAAAUGCCUGAACUGCUAUUAUCUGCAUCCUUCAAGCGCUUGACAGGAUUACGACGUGCCGUUAACAUUAGCCUCAGCACAGUGUCUGGAUGAUCAGCCAUGCCUCUUGUAAAUGUCCCACAUAAACCCUGCAGGCCAUGGGCGGUCACCAUGUGAGAGACAGCAUGGCUCCAUCAGUUGGUUACUGCGGGAUUUCUGCAAAGUAUGGUUCAGAGGAUGUCAGGUCUGUUAGGACCCCUGGGCUGGGAGGGGAAAGGUAGAGGAGGGGUCAGUGACCAGCACAGGACAGAAAAGCAUCUUAAGCAAAUAUUGGAUUGUGAGCAUCGAAGAGAAACAACUCAAGAGGGCCUUCCAGCUGGCUCUAGCUGGCACCCGUUCAAUUCUUCCGGCCAUGAUGUGCCCACAAGAACGCCCCAGGAGAGAUGCUUCUGUAAGGGAGCAGCCACCAGCCACCUAAAUGAGGUCAACGGAAAGAAUGGAAAUAGUUGGAGCCUGGGGAUGACAUCAAACACUGGGUGGGUGAGGGGGAGAAAGGAGGUAUGUGGAGAGAGAGGCAGCCCAAGGGAGGCAGAGACAUGGAUGGGAGGAGUGACAGAAGGGCAGGACUUCAGGCUCUGCACCUCUUUCCGGGUGUUGUUGCCAGCCCUACUCCAACCCUGAGCCAUAAUCAACUUCCUUAAUGAAAUACGUAAUUAACAUAUUAUAAUUGUAGUAAAGAUGAUUU
rnacentral:lncRNA from 1 species